AUUCCAGCUCCAAUAGCGUAUAUUAAAGUUGUUGCGGUUAAAAAGCUCGUAGUUGGAUUUCUGUCGGUGAAUAUCAGUCCGCCCACAGCGGUAGGUACGUGAUAUUUCACCGGCAUCUUCCUGGGGAAUGUGUCUGCUCUUUAUUGAGUGGUACAUAAGCCAGGACUUUUACUUUGAAGAAAUGAGAGUGUUUCAAGCAGGCAUGCGCCGUGAAUACGUUAGCAUGGGAUAAUAGCAUCGGACCUCGUCCCAAAGCUGUUGGUUUCUUGGACCGAGGUAAAGGUGAAUAGGGAUUGUUGGGGGCAUUCGUAUUUGACUGUCAGAGGUGAAAUUCUUGGAUUUGUUGAAGACGGACUACUGCGAAAGCAUCUGCCAAAGAUGUUCUCAUCA
rnacentral:rRNA from 1 species